rnacentral:rRNA from 1 species
CCUACGGGUGGCAGCGGUGAGGAAUAUUGGUCAAUGGACGAGAGUCUGAACCAGCCAAGUAGCGUGAAGGAUGACUGCCCUAUGGGUUGUAAACUUCUUUUAUAUGGGAAUAAAACGUUCCACGUGUGGGAUUUUGUAUGUACCAUAUGAAUAAGGAUCGGCUAACUCCGUGCCAGCAGCCGCGGUAAUACGGAGGAUUCGAGCGUUAUCCGGAUUUAUUGGGUUUAAAGGGAGCGUAGGUGGAUUGUUAAGUCAGUUGUGAAAGUUUGCGGCUCAACCGUAAAAUUGCAGUUGAAACUGGCAGUCUUGAGUACAGUAGAGGUGGGCGGAAUUCGUGGUGUAGCGGUGAAAUGCUUAGAUAUCACGAAGAACUCCGAUUGCGAAGGCAGUUCACUGGACUGCAACUGACACUGAGGCUCGAAAGUGUGGGUAUCAAACAGGAUUAGAUACCCUUGUAGUC